ensembl:lncRNA
GUCAUAGUUACCCCCCGAUGAGUGCUCAUCUAAAGACAAAUACAUAUAGAUCUGAUUGCCAUGUAAAAUUAUCCACACAGGUAUCUCGCUAUGAUUUGAAAAUGUGUUGACGGCUCCUAAAGCCAAUCAAUGGCUACCAGGGGCGGAGAGUAGCUUGUCCGUCAGAUUGAUGCUAUAAUGAAUUCAAUAGGGAGGGAGGGGGAGAAUCCAAUCCGGUUUGAGCUAGUUUUUGUUCCAAUGGAACAUUAAGGUUUGCUACGCUGUAAUAGAACGUAGUGUUUGAAUCUUAUACCAACAUACAGUAUUUUUCUUGCUCCGUUUUGGAACAGUUCCCUCUUUAUUUGAACUUAUACGCAAAACAGCCAUGCCUAAAAGGAGCAAAGCAAGCGCUGAUGUUGAGGCAGCAGAGAAUGGAGAAGCCAAAGCUGAGGAAGAGGCACCAGAAGAACCUGAACAGAAAGAGGAAGAAGAGGCGGCCGAAUAACAUCUCUCAAACCACAUCUUUUAUCAGUGCUCCCUGUACCUCUUUUUCUUGUACAAUUCAGGGGUAUAUUUUUAUCGACUAUUUUCUAAAUGCAGGUUUUUUAGUAGUUUGAUUGUAGAAACACAUUUUUUUAUGAAAUAAAAAAUACAAUUUGAGAUGGGGAUUUCAUUGCAUCCCAUGUUUUUACAUCUCUGGAACAAUUACGGUCAUUGUAAAUGUCAACGGUUUUUAUUUUCGAUAUGGGGGAGGGGUGGGAAUGAGACAGGUUACUACACCAAGAACAUGCAAGCACGUCGUUUACAGGAUCUGGUCAAAACAACAGAGAGCUUGUCUGAGAGACUAACAUUCCAUAGGCUAUAUGAGGGAAGGUAUACGUAACCUGCAUUGUGUGGUGGGGAUGAAUUAACUCAAGGGGGAACACAUUGUUUUAUUGUUUAUAAUGAGGAAAACAUUUUAAGGUGUUUAAACUGUGUUCCAUAUGUUAACUCUUGUACUCAUUAUGUUUUUCUUUACCAUUCUGCUCAAUAAACCUAUUCCCUAGUACUGGAGUUCCUCCCUAUCAGGCCUGUGCAUUGGGUGUAAUUGGUUGGCUCUGUUCUGUGAUAGCAUUGCAAUAAAUUUGUAUAGCUGCUAUUAAAAGGGGUUUUCGACUUUCUAUAUGCAGUGUGUAAUGGUACAUUGUGAGUAUGGUAAAAAUGGAAUUGUGUUCUUAGCCAAGCUAAAGAAGUACAUAAGUUAAAUAUACUGACGAUUAUGGUUCCUUGGAUGCUGAGAAACUGUACAUCCAUUUGAGCUGUCAAAUACACAAACCAGCAGUAGCAAUAUUCAUGUGGGGUUUAGGUAUCAAGUACAAGUGUACAGUUCUUUUAUCCUUUGUUUAUAGAUGUAUCUGUGUAAUGAUUGGUAUAAACAAACCAAUAAAAAUUUGGUUGUACUUGUUUUGUUCUUUGUGUGAUGGAAAUGGACAAUGUCUGAAUCCAAAUAAUCAUGUAAAAACUAAAUUAUUUUAGAUGCCAGUUCUGUCCACAUAUGUAAUGCAGUAGCUAAAUAAUACCAGUUCUGAGACUGACAUGAAAAACGUUACUUGGUUAUUAGACUCCUGUCAGACUCAUUCCAUGGGCACAUUGUUUUCACUCCACCCAUUAGAAUGCAAUUUUGUGUGGCUCCAAUAUGUUUUUUGGGGGGAAAAUAUUGUGAAACUAUCUUUCCACUAUUACUGUAGAUACUGUAUAUUAAGGACAUUUCCUGAAAUUACAAUGCAAACAUAUAGCUAAUUUAAGUACCGUAGGGCUGCAAGAAAGAAACUCACCAUAUAUUCAGUACAUUAAGAAGUGUGUAUCACACCUAGAACAAAGGCUAGCACAUAUACUAAACAAAAAUAUGAACGCACCAUGUAAAGUGUUGGUCUCAUGUCUCAUGAGCUGAAAUAAAAGAUCCCAGAAAUGUUCCA